rnacentral:tRNA from 1 species
GCGAGGUCUCUGGUUCAAGUCCAGGAUGGCCCA